rnacentral:rRNA from 1 species
UACGGAGGGUGCGAGCGUUGUCCGGAAUCAUUGGGCGUAAAGGGCGCGUAGGCGGCCACGCACGUCCGUUGUGAAAUCGCCCGGCUCAACUGGGCGGGGUCAGCGGAUACGGUGUGGCUAGAGCAAGCUAGGGGGCAAUGGAAUUCCCGGUGUAGUGGUGGAAUGCGUAGAUAUCGGGAGGAACACCAGUGGCGAAGGCGGUUGCCUGGAGCUUUGCUGACGCUGAUGCGCGAAAGCGUGGGGAGCGAUCCGG